AUGUUCUAUGUCUUCGCCGUGCCUUCUUCCAGCUUCUCUAUUGGUUUUCUCUUCACACCGAUUAGGCAGGGGAGGACGAGGCGAAGGGGGAUGGAGAAGUGGUCGAGCUGGAGGCGUACAGGCAGGGCACCCAGAAGAUGGAGCUAUGCAACAAGUGGGAGGGUGGCGCCUGCUCCUACGGCGGCCGGUGCCGGUUCGCGCACGGCCUGCAGGAUGAUGGUUUCUUAA
rnacentral:rRNA from 1 species